GCAUUGGCGACCCAUGACUGAAUUAAAAAAACAUUGCUGGCAGAAGAAUUAAUAAUCGGCAAGGAGGUUUGCUUACUUCCCUGCGGAUAAAUCACCCUGGUCGCGCCCAGCGCAAUGCCUCCCGCCUUGAGUUCUCCCUGAGACUUAGAGUCUCCUGAAGGAACGUUGAAGACGACGACGUUGAUAGGCCGGGUGUGUAAGCGCAGCGAUGCGUUGAGCUAACCGGUACUAAUGAACCGUGAGGCUUAACCUU
rnacentral:rRNA from 1 species